GACGGAGGAUGCAAGCGUUAUCCGGAAUUAUUGGGCGUAAAGGGUGCGUAGGUGGUCAGACAAGUCCCAUGUCAAAGCAUGGUGCUUAACGCCAUAAAGGCGUGGGAAACUGUGUGACUAGAGUACAGCAGGGGCAGAAGGAAUUCCCGGUGUAGCGGUGAAAUGCGUAGAUAUCGGGAAGAACACCAGUGGCGCAAGCGUUCUGCUGGGCUGUAACUGACACUGAGGCACGAAAGCUAGGGGAGCGAAAGGG
rnacentral:rRNA from 1 species